rnacentral:rRNA from 1 species
GACGAACGCUGGCGGCGUGCCUAAUACAUGCAAGUAGAACGCUGAAGCGAGGAGCUUGCUCUUCUUGGAUGAGUUGCGAACGGGUGAGUAACGCGUAGGUAACCUGCCUUGUAGCGGGGGAUAACUAUUGGAAACGAUAGCUAAUACCGCAUAACAAUGGAUGACACAUGUCAUUUAUUUGAAAGGGGCAAUUGCUCCACUACAAGAUGGACCUGCGGUGGAUUAGCUAGUAGGUGAGGUAAUGGCUCACCUAGGCGACGAUACAUAGCCGACCUGGGAGGGUGAUCGGCCACACUGGGACUGAGACAAGGCCCAGACUCCUAAGGGAGGCAGCAGUAGGGAAUCUUCGGCAAUGGGGGGAACCCUGAACGAGGAACGCCGCGUGAGUGAAGAAGGUUCUCGGAUCGUAAAGCUCUGUUGUUAGUCAAAAACGGGUGUGAGAGUGGAAAGUUCACACUGUGACGGUAGCUUACCAGAAAGGGACGGCUAACUACGUG